rnacentral:tRNA from 1 species
GGUAGGGUGGCCGAGAGUUAAGGCGGUAGGCUGUAGACCUAUUUACAGGGGUUUAAUUCCUCUUUCUAUCA